GGUUCACUCUUUAAGCUGUUGCUGGAAAUAUGCGCAACGAAAUAUCCAGUAUGUGUCGUUGGCGUCGCGUUGCAAUCUUUGGCUAACAAGUCGCUGCCGCCGCGGAUUUCGUAAACGACAUUCUACUAAUAACAAUGCAAAUUGUCUACGAUGCGCAAUAUCGUUGCACCAAUUGACCCUGAUUAUGAUGAUUAAUCGUCCGACAAUCUAAAGUCCCGAUCGCAUAAUUAAACGCUCAUUACGUUAUAUUAGUUUGUCAUUAACCGCAAACAAAAAAUGGAACGAAACGCUCAAGGAAUUUACAAUGUAGUCAAUGAAUUAGAAGAAUAAAAUAAUAAAUUAGAAUGAAAUAAAGCAAAGCG